CAGGGGGUGACAGUGAUGUAGGGCUGCCCUACCCCCUACCAUGUUUUCUCAGGCAGAGCCACACGUGCUGGGCCUGCCCACAUGCCUGGCGCUGCUCCGUGUCCGUAGAGGAGGAGCACGCUGCCAUUCUGCGCCCCUGUGGUGCCCCCCCUGUGGGACCGACCCCCGUGUAUGACAGAACCGCCCCUGUGCUGUGCACCUGCAACGCACCCUGAGGAAUGACUACCCCUCCUCAAAAAUGACCACAGGAGCUGGGGGGCUUCCUGCAGCCCCAUUAAAGCCCCCAUGGUGGCAGGGAUCAGCUAACCUCUGCAAGCUACCAAGAGGAAUCCAGGGUGCACCGACUGAAUCCAAACUGCAUCUCCUGAGCUAGCAGGGGGAUGGCAGGUGAUACGUGCUCUGCGCUUCUGCCUGAAGAGCUCAGCCAGGAGGUGGCAGCGCCUCUUGUACAGCACGCGGCCUGCAGGAAAAGAAGAGAUGGAGUUCUGGCAGCAGUUGAUAAUACAACGUUGUCACAGGUCAUUUUUAAUAAUUGAAAGAACAAUAAAAACUAUGUGUUUUAAUUCAGGAUUAACUUUAAGCCUGUUGUUUAUACAGAGGACAGUCAGCGUACGACCAUCUUCUAUUUGCUGUAUUAGAGAAGUCUCUAUCCAGCAAGAGGUUCAUGGUUCCUACUGUACAAUGGCAGGGGCAGAGUCCAUUUCAGACUCUAUCAAUACCUCAAAUUACG
ensembl:lncRNA